UGAUUUAUUAAGGUCCCCAUUAGCCGACACCAACAAUUUACAUACAUUUAAAAACAACAUGUAUUGUGUGUGUGCACGCAUCUAUCAGUUACACAGAGUACCAGUCAAAGGUUUGGACACCCCUAUUCAUUCAAGGGUUUCCUGUAUUUUUACUAUUAUCUACAUGGUAGAAUAAUAGUGAAGACAUCAAAACUAUGAAAUAACACAUAUGGAAUCGUGUAGUAACCAACAAAGUGUUAAAUAAAUCAAAAUAUAUUUUUAUAUUUGAGAUUCUUCAAAGUAGCCUUGAGAGCUUUGCACACUCUUGGCAUUCCCUCAACCAGCAUCAUUGGGUAAUCACCUAGAAUGCAUUUCAAAAAUAUAUAUAUUUUUUCACCUUUAUUUAACCAGGGAGGCCGGUUGAGAACAAGUUCUCAUUUACAACUGCGACCUGGACAAGAUAAAGCAAAGCGACAAAAAAAACAGUUACACAUGGAAUAAACAAAAGUACAGUCAUAAAAUCUGUAUACAGUGUGUGCAAAUGAAGUAAGGAGGUAAGGCAAUAAAUAGGCCAUAGUGGCAAACUAAUUACAAUUCAGCAAUUAACACAAGUGAUAGAUGUGCAGAUGAGGAUGUGCAAAGUAGAAACACUGAUGUGCAAAAAAGCAGAAAAAAAAUAUGGAGAUGAGGUUGGUUGGAUGGGCUAUUUUAUGAGGGUAUGUUUGGCAGCAUGAGUGAAGGAGGCUUUGUUGCGAAAUAGGAAACUGAUUCUAGAUUUAAUUUGGAUUGGAGAUGCUUAAUGUGAGUCUGGAAGAAGUCUGAAACGUCCAGAGUAGUGAUGCUAGGUGGGCAGGUGCGGGCAGAGAUCGGUUAAAGAGCAUGCAUUUAGUUUUAAUAGUGUUUAAGGGCAGUUGGAGGCCACGGCAGGAGUGUCGUUUGGCAUUGAAGCUCGUUUGGAGGUUUGUUAACACAGUGUCCAGAGAAGGGCCAGAAGAAUACAGAAUGGUGUCGUCUGCGUAGAUGUGGCCUAGUUAACAGGUGUGCCUUCUUAAAGUAUCCUUCUUAAUACAUUUGAGCCAAUCAGUUGUUUUGUGACAAGGUAGGUUUGGUAUACAGAAGAUAAUUUGGUAUUUGGUCCCAAAUUAUGGCAAGAACAGCUCAAAUAAGCAAAGAGAAACUACAGUUCAUUAUUACUUUAAGAUAUGAAGGUCAGUUAAUCUGGACCUUUUCAAAAUUUUUAAAGUUUCUUCAAGUGCAGUCACAAAAACCAUCAAGCGCUAUGAUGAAACUGUCUCACGUGGACCGCCACAGGAAAGGAAGACCCAGAUUCGCCUCUGCUGCAGAGGAUAAGUUCAUUAGUUACCAGACACAGAAAUUGCAACCCAAAUAAAUGCUUCAAGUAACAGACACAUCAACAUAAACUGUUCAGAGGAGACUGCGUGAAUCAGCCCUUCAUGGUCGAAUCGCUGCAAAGAAACAACUACUAAAGGACAAUAAUAAGAAGAAACUUGCUUGGGCCAAGAAACACGAGCAACGGACAUUAAACCGGUGGAAAUCUGUCCUUUGGUCUGAAAAGUCCAAAUUUGAGAUUUGUGGUUCCAACCGGGUCUUUGUGAGACGCACAGUAGGUGAAAGGAUGAUCUCCGCAUGUGUGGUUCCCACCGUGAAGCAUGGAAGAGGUGAUGUGAUGGUGUGGUGGGGGGGGGGGUGCUUUGCUGGUGACACUGUUGGUGAUUUAUUUAGAAUUCAAAGCACACUUAACCAGCAUGGCUACCACAGCAUUCUGUAGCGAUACUCCAUCCCAUCUGGUUAGUGCUUAGUGGGACUAUAAUUUGUUUUUCAACAGGACAAUGACCCAAAACACACCUCCAGGUUGUGUAAGGGCUAUUUGACCAAAAAGGAGAGUGAUGGAGUGCUGCAUCAGAUGACCUGGCCUCCACAAUCACCCGACCUCCACCCAAUUGAGAUGGUUUGGGAUGAGUUUGACCGCAGAGUGAAGGAAAAGCAGCCAACAAGUGCUCAGCAUAUGUAGGAAGUCCUUCAAGAAUGUUGGGAAAGCAUUCCAGAUGACUAACUCAUGAAGCUGGUUGAGAGAAUGCUAAGCUGUCAUCAAAACAAAGGGUGGCUACUUUGAAGAAUCAAAAUUAUAAAACAUAUUUUGAUUUGUUUAACACUUUGUUACUACAUGAUUCCAGAAUGUGUUAUUUCAAAGUUGAGGUCUUCACUAUUAUUCUACAAUGUAGAUAAUAGUAAAAAGAAAGAAAAACCCUUGAAUGAGUAGGUGUGUCCAAAUGUUUGACUGGUACUGUACAUGUCAGUACAUACACACAACAAGUAGGUCACAUGGUGGAGAGGCGUUGUGCUUUGAGGUGUGUACAUUCCCACACCUUCUGGUUGUGAGAGUCAGACUGGCUUGACCAGGAUUUUUUUUGAAAGCAAUAGGGGUGAUAAAAAUAUAAACUAGAGCCAGGCCACUUUAUCACAUCAAUGUUUCAUUCCCCAGGGCUUCAGUACAGGUCAAGCUGUUGCAGUUUGAGCUCAAAAUGAUAAUCCAACCAAUCAGGCUGGAGCUGUGGCUUUAUCUCCAAAUGGGCCAUAAACAUUGAGGCAACGCCAACUGUCAAGCAAUGGGCCUUCCAUUUAUUAGCACUUUGUUGAUGCAGAUUCUCAUAGGAAAACAAAUGUUAUAAAUCACAUUGCUUUGUCCGUGGAGUGAAAGAUAUCAGCAUGAUUAUGUACAGGGAACACACAUUCCUCUUAGCUCAUGACAGAUAUGCAUAAACUACACAAAAGUGAUUGAACAGCAACCAGGAAGAAGCUCUGAGAAAUCCCCUCGGCUAUACCCUGCGGCCCUAUCCUUUUUACAUUUUAGUCAUUUAGCAGAAUUAGGGUUGAGUGCCUUGUUCAAAGGCCCAAUUACAGAUUUUCUUUUAACAAGUCGGCUCUGGGAUUUUAACCAGUGACAUUUUGGUUCCUGGACCAGCGCUCUUAAAAUCGCUAAGCUACCCAUCACCACAGUAACGGAAUUACGCUGAGACUCACUUUAAAAUGUAUGCUAAACAAAAAAAACAUUGAUUUCAAAGUUUAACAAACCAUACAACUCUAUGCACACUUGGAACAAUUUACACAGAAAAUAAAUAAAUAAACAUUUACUGGAAACACAGUGCAGAUGCAAAUUUUGUGUUUUUGCAAAAUGUCCCGUGGAAAACGUUAAAAGUAGCCCUUGUGUAUGAUCAGUUCAACUUUAAAAUCAAUACUUUUGGUUUGGUAUACAUUUUAAAGUGAAAAAUAUGAGAGUCUCAGUGUAUUCCGUUACCAUGGAAUUGCCCAGUGCUAAUUGGCACCAAUGUGUAGCCUGGCCUAUCAUACCGCUUGUUCACGGUUGCUAUUGACGAACAGCCCUGGGUGUUCCAGACACAACAGCAGCAGACUUGAUCAGAGAGAUCCAGCCCACCACAUGAAACAAAGUUCAUGCUCCCGAGUGAAAGCAACUCAGUCUCCAAGCCGAGCCUUAUAACACACUGCUGGUCAUAAAACAUGGAUGGCCCCAGACAAUGAGGCUCAUCAACUAGGCCUAAGCCACGGUGAGGCCAACAGGAAACGGACCACUGACAACACACACAUCCUAAAGAGGGAGAGAAAAGGAGAGAGAGCAAGAUUGAAGAUAACGCUGUCUGAUAUGUGUAGGUCCGUUACCCCUCCUGUGCCCUCCAACGGCUUCUCAUGCCAUCUGCGGGGUGCCAUCUGGUUCACAGUGGAGAUCAGGCAAAACAGAACACGUUCAUCCUUUGCAGUGAGAAGAGCGAUUCCAGCCCCUGUGUGUGUGUGUUAUUAAACACACAGAAACCACUACAAACGUCCUCGAGAUGUGUUUGGUUGGAUCAUAAUGGUAUCAUCAGAUACUAAUAAGAACUCCACAUACGCAGUGUCCUGACUAUGUUUCUCAAACACUUGGUCUGUAAUGCAAGCAUAUGACAUGAUGACAAUUUCUGGUCUACAGUACCAUUGUACUCUCUCCCUUGGGGAUGCUGGGAAAGCAAUGAAUAGACUACACUAAUUAAAUCCAUUUGUUUCUAUAAUUAUCUCUGGUCAUUUUCUAAACCUGGGAAGCUAAACAACUGAUAUUUUUCCCAUUAGCUUUGCGCAAGGUCCUGAAGAAGACAAUGUGUUUGAGGUAGCUAUGGAGGAAAGUCCAUAUGGACUCCAGACACAGACCAGGAUGAGUCCCACUAUCAUUGUGCAAAAAGGAAAUGGAAAAAUACAAGUAUUUUGCAUGCUGACUCUUAUCCCCAAAGUAUUAUCUAAGCUUGGAGUUGGUUCUUUGAAGAGCACCAUUGGAGCAGGGCAUUCUCUCUGCCAAGAGCAGUCAAUGUAAAUGAUUAAAUAUUAUUUAUUAAUAAGCAACUCCAUCGGUUUUAUUAGAGAUAUGUACUGACCACAGCAGUGAACUGUUGAAACUCUGGCUUGAGGUCUGAUCCUCUUAGGUGGAUGUCAGAUCCUUUGUUCCCCAUCUGAUCCCUGGAUCAAUUUAACCCUGAUUAAAUAACUGUCAGCAGUAUCCAUGACAUUGGUUGCCACUGAUAUUGACCUUGUAGUGUAUAUUCUUGUGUGUAUUUAUUUUAUAUAACUUAGUAUCACUGCAUUGUUGAGAAGGAGAUUGCAAGCAGCAAGCAUUUCACUAUACUGUAUCCUGUGCAUGUGACAAAUCAACUCGGAUUUGAUUUGGGAGAGAGAAAAAGAAGAGGAGCAGACAAGAAAGUUUAAAACAAUAGAUGUCACAUUUGAUGGGAUAUUCCCAGCGGUGGUAAAAGUACCCAAUCAUCAUACUUGAGUAAAAGUAAAGAUAACUUAAUCAUGUCAUGACUGUCCUGAUCAGGUCAGGUUACAGGAGACCACAACCCUACAGAUUAUCUCUCAAACCCAACAGAGGAGGAGAGAUCUAGGGGUCUGAAGAUGUGGGUUUUUUAUGACCCCUCACACCCCUGGUAAAUCUUAGGCCACACAACAGACUCCUAAACCAAAUGACAACCAAAGAGUUGCUCCGGAGAAGUGCGUCAUUGAGCAGCCUGAGCGGUUCACGUGGAGAAUCCACAGAGACCUUCCCCACGUAAUUACAUCAUUAUAUUCUGACCCAUAAUAAUAAGAGUGGCAGUUUGGAGCAAGGCUAGGGUUAGAAUAAGCAUAGCUGACAAAUUCACCCAAAUGUAUAUUUCUCGUGUACUUUCUCUUUUUCUCUCUCUUUUAAAUCCCCAUUUUGGGUAACACGCGCCAUAUUGUGUUGGCCCGUUAUACUAAGUUCUAAUUAAUAGCCUAGAAUGUGUUUUUGUGUAUGUAUGUCUUUUAUCAUCGUUUUAGCUUUCUAGUAAAUAAAUACUCAACUAAGA